GACGAACGCUGGCGGCGUGCUUAACACAUGCAAGUCGAGCGAUGAAGCUCCUUCGGGAGUGGAUUAGCGGCGGACGGGUGAGUAACACGUGGGUAACCUGCCUCAUAGAGGGGAAUAGCCUUCCGAAAGGAAGAUUAAUACCGCAUAAGAUUGUAGUUCCGCAUGGAACAGCAAUUAAAGGAGUAAUCUGCUAUGAGAUGGACCCGCGUCGCGUUAGCUAGUUGGUGAGGUAACGGCUCACCAAGGCGACGAUGCGUAGCCGACCUGAGAGGGUGAUCGGCCACAUUGGGACUGAGACACGGCCCAGACUCCUACGGGAGGCAGCAGUGGGGAAUGUUGCACAAUGGGGGAAACCCUGAUGCAGCAACGCCGCGUGAGUGAUGACGGUCUUCGGAUUGUAAAACUCUGUCUUUGGGGACGAUAAUGACGGUACCCAAGGAGGAAGCCACGGCUAACUACGUGCCAGCCGCCGCAGUAAGAC
rnacentral:rRNA from 1 species